UUCAGGCCCCCCAUGUGGCGGUAUCCAGGCGAACUCCCCCAGGACGGAAACGGAGCAAGGGUAGUCUGGCUCUAUCGGGUGCAUGGGGGUCUUUGCUG
rnacentral:SRP_RNA from 1 species